rnacentral:rRNA from 1 species
AAUCAACGCUGGCGGCGCGCUUAACACAUGCAAGUCGCACGAGAAAGGGAGCAAUCCUGAGUAUAGUGGCGCACGGGUGAGUAACACGUGGAUGAUCUACCUCCUUGUGGGGAAUAACCCUGGGAAACCGGGGCUAAUACCGCAUACGUCCGAGAGGAGAAAGCCGAAAGGCGCAGGGAGAGGAGUCCGCGGUUGAUUAGCUAGUUGGUAGGGUAAUGGCCUACCAAGGCGACGAUCGAUAGCCGGCCUGAGAGGGCACACGGCCACACUGGCACUGAAACACGGGCCAGACUCCUACGGGAGGCAGCAGUGGGGAAUCUUGCACAAUGGGGGAAACCCUGAUGCAGCGACGCCGCGUGAACGAUGAAGCCCUUCGGGGUGUAAAGUUCUUUCGACGGGGACGAUAAUGACGGUACCCGGAGAAGAAGCUGCGGCUAACUACGUGCCAGCAGCCGCGGUAAU